rnacentral:lncRNA from 1 species
UUGGUCUGUCCCAUCCUUGUCCUAGCCAGAAAGAAAUAUAUUUACAAAUAUUACAUACUCUACUGCAUGGAUUUCAGAAGUUCGAUGAGGAAUCGACAACAAAACUCUAUGUUAAUGUCGGCCGGAAAAGGGCAUGCAAGUAGUGCGUCAGCAGACAAGUUGCCCAUAAAAAUGCAGUCAUAGGCCGGAAAAGGGCAUGCAAGUAGUGCGUCAGCAGACAAGUUGCCCAUAAAAAUGCAGUCAUAGUCCGCAGUAGAUUCUCAUCGUGCACGAAGGACUCUCUUCCUUAAGCUUGAAUUAAGACUGAACCUUCUGUCUCUUCUGUGAGUGC